rnacentral:rRNA from 1 species
UACGUAGGGUGCAAGCGUUAAUCGGAAUUACUGGGCGUAAAGCGUGCGCAGGCGGUUGUGCAAGACAGAUGUGAAAUCCCCGGGCUCAACCUGGGAACUGCAUUUGGGACUGCAAGGCUUGAGUACGGCAGAGGGGGGUAGAAUUCCUGGUGUAGCAGUGAAAUGCGUAGAUAUCAGGAGGAAUACCGAUGGCGAAGGCAGCCCCCUGGGUCGAUACUGACGCUCAUGCACGAAAGCGUGGGGAGCAAACAGG